rnacentral:sRNA from 1 species
ACAACUCCUCCUGCUACAAUGACAGUUCUCUGCCUGUGCUGUGAGGGCAUCUGGGGCAUCCUUUGAAGUCCAGGUGAAGGCAGCCAUGCCUCCACAGCUUGUUCAUUCUGGGCCCUUGUAAAGAUGGCACCAUGGAGACACCCCCAAGGUUGAUUUGAAUGUGCCAUCCAGAAGGACAUCUCCUUGGGCCUCAUCCCACCUGGGCCCAGUGGAGCCAUACCCGAUAUGGUUGAAGAGCGGUUUGCUACAAUGCAGGGAAUAGAGACUUGAGGCAUCAUGAGCAUACUGUGUAAAUAAAACCUGCAGAAAAGUUCAUUUAAUGGGAUAUAACUGUAAUGCCACCACAAAAUGCAAAGGGAAAGGGAUAUGUAAUAAUUUUGGUAAUUGUCAAUGCUUCCCUGGACAUAAACCUCCAGAUUGUAAAUUCCAGUUUGGUUCCCCAGGGGGUAGUAUUGAUGACGGAAAUUUUCAGAAAUCUGGUGACUUUUAUACUGAAAAAGGCUACAAUACACACUGGAACAACUGGUUUAUUCUGAGUUUCUGCAUUUUUCUGCCGUUUUUCAUAGUUUUCACCACUGUGAUCUUUAAAAGAAAUGAAAUAAGGAAAUCAUGCAACAGAGAGAAUGCAGAGUAUAAUCGUAAUUCGUCCGUUGUAUCAGAAAGCCAUGACGUGGGACAUUAAUAUUGCACAGAACUUCCAUAGCAAAUAACCUAAAGGAACAAAUGUGCUUUAUUUAUAACCUUAUGUUAUCCCCGAAUGCAUUGUAAAUGUCAAACUUUUGGAAAAUAAAGCCUGCGUGCCCUC